rnacentral:rRNA from 1 species
CCUACGGGAGGCAGCAGUGAGGAAUAUUGGGCAAUGGCCGGAAGGCUGAAGCAGCCAAGCCGCGUGAGGGAGGAAGGCGCAGAGCGUCGCAGACCUCUUUUGCCGGGGGACAAAAGGCCGGACUCGUCCGGUCCUGAGGGUACCCGGAGAAAAAGCAUCGGCUAACUCCGUGCCAUCAGCCGCGGUCAUACGUAGGGUCCGAGCAUUAUCCGGAGUGACUGGGUGCAAAGAGUUGCGUACGUGGGUUAGUUAGUAGCUAGUGAAAUCUGGUGGGUCAACCAUUCAGACGAUUAGCUAAACUGGUAAGCGUGAGACCGUUAGGGGUAACUGGAAUUUCUAGUGUAGGAGUGAAAUCCGUAGAGAUUAGAAGGAACACCGAUAGCGUAGGCAGGUUACUGGGACGGUUCUGACACUAAGGCACGAAAGCGUAGGGAGCAAACGGGAUUAGAUACCCUGGUAGUC